UUCUAGAACCAUGCCACCCUGAACAAACCCAAUGUCUAAUCUCGGAAGCUAAGCAGGGACAGGUCUGGUUAGUACUUAAAUGGGAGACCACCUAGGAAGACCAGGUGCUAUAGGCA
rnacentral:rRNA from 1 species